UGCCUAACACAUGCAAGUCGAACGAACUCUGGUAUUGAUUGGUGCUUGCAUCAUGAUUUACAUUUGAGUGAGUGGCGAACUGGUGAGUAACACGUGGGAAACCUGCCCAGAAGCGGGGGAUAACACCUGGAAACAGAUGCUAAUACCGCAUAACAACUUGGACCGCAUGGUCCGAGUUUGAAAGAUGGCUUCGGCUAUCACUUUUGGAUGGUCCCGCGGCGUAUUAGCUAGAUGGUGAGGUAACGGCUCACCAUGGCAAUGAUACGUAGCCGACCUGAGAGGGUAAUCGGCCACAUUGGGACUGAGACACGGCCCAAACUCCUACGGGAGGCAGCAGUAGGGAAUCUUCCACAAUGGACGAAAGUCUGAUGGAGCAACGCCGCGUGAGUGAAGAAGGGUUUCGGCUCGUAAAACUCUGUUGUUAAAGAAGAACAUAUCUGAGAGUAACUGUUCAGGUAUUGACGGUAUUUAACCAGAAAGCCACGGCUAACUACGUGCCAGCAGCCGCGGUAAUACGAGA
rnacentral:rRNA from 2 species